UCGGGUGACAGGGAGACAGGUGGUGCAUGGUUGUCGUCAGUCUCGUGUCGUGAGAUGUUGGGUUAAGUCCCGCAACGAGCCGCAACCCCUACGUUUAGUUGCUAACGCGUGAAGGCGAGCACUCUAGACGAACUGCCGUUGACAAAACGGAGGAAGGUGGGAUGACGUCAAAUCAUCAUGCCCCUUAUGUUCUGGGCUACACACGUGCUACAAUGGCCGGUACAGACGGACGCAAAGCCGCGAGGUGGAGCAAAUCCUAAAAAGCCGGUCUCAGUUCGGAUUGCAGGCUGCAAUUCGCCUGCAUGAAGUCGGAAUCGCUAGUAAUCGCAGGUCAGCAUACUGCGGUGAAUACGUUCCCGGGCCUU
rnacentral:rRNA from 1 species